AACGAACGCUGGCGGCAUGCCUAACACAUGCAGGUCGAACGAUCCCUUCGGGGAUAGUGGCGCACGGGUGCGUAACGCGUGGGAACCUGCCCUUAGGUUCGGAAUAACUCAGAGAAAUUUGAGCUAAUACCGGAUAAUGUCUUCGGACCAAAGAUUUAUCGCCUUUGGAUGGGCCCGCGUUGGAUUAGCUAGUUGGUGGGGUAAAGGCCUACCAAGGCGACGAUCCAUAGCUGGUCUGAGAGGAUGAUCAGCCACACUGGGACUGAGACACGGCCCAGACUCCUACGGGAGGCAGCAGUGGGGAAUAUUGGACAAUGGGCGAAAGACUGAUCCAGCAAUGCCGCGUGAGUGAUGAAGGCCUUAGGGUUGUAAAGCUCUUUUACCCGGGAUGAUAAUGACAGUACCGGGAGAAUAAGCCCCGGCUAACUCCGUG
rnacentral:rRNA from 1 species